CUGGAGGUCAGACUGGAGGUCAGACUAGAGAUCAGACUAGAGGUCAGACUAGAGGUCAGACUGGAGGUCAGACUAGAGGUCAGACUAGAGGUCAGACUGGAGGUCAGACUAGAGGUCAGACUGGAGGUCAGACUGGAGGUCAGACUGGAGGUCAG